rnacentral:rRNA from 1 species
AUUGAACGCUGGCGGCAGGCCUAACACAUGCAAGUCGAACGAGUGGCGGACGGGUGAGUAAUUGCUGGUAAACUGCCUUAUGGAGGGGGAUAACUACUGGAAACGGUAGCUAAUACCGCAUACCCUCUGAUGUGCCCAGAUGGGAUUAGCUAAUAGGUGGGGUAAAGGCUCACCUAGGCGACGAUCCCUAGCUGGUCUGAGAGGAUGACCAGACAAACUGGAACUGAGACACGGUCCAGACGCCUACGGGAGGCAGCAGUGGGGAAUAUUGCACAAUGGGCGCAAACCUGAUGCAGCCACGCCGCGUGUAUGAAGAAGGUCUUCGGGUUGUAAAGUACUGUCAGCGGGGAGGCGUUACCCGCAGAAGAAGCAACGGCUAACUCCGUGCCAGCAGCCGCGGUAAUUC